rnacentral:rRNA from 1 species
CCUACGUGAGGCAGCAGUGGGGAAUAUUGCACAAUGGGGGAAACCCUGAUGCAGCGACGCCGCGUGAGUGAAGAAGUAAUUCGUUAUGUAAAGCUCUAUCAGCAGGGAAGAAAAUGACGGUACCUGAGUAAGAAGCCCCGGCUAACUACGUGCCAGCAGCCGCGGUAAUACGUAGGGGGCAAGCGUUAUCCGGAUUUACUGGGUGUAAAGGGAGCGUAGGCGGCAGUGCAAGUCUGGAGUGAAAGGCGGGGGGUCAACCCCCGGACUGCUCAGGAAACUGUACGGCUGGAGUGCAGGAGAGGUAAGUGGAAUUCCUAGUGUAGCGGUGAAAUGCGUAGAUAUUAGGAGGAACACCAGUGGCGAAGGCGGCUUACUGGACUGUAACUGACGUUGAGGCUCGAAAGCGUGGGGAGCAAACAGGAUUAGAUACCCGGGUAGUC